rnacentral:lncRNA from 1 species
UUACGUUGUCGAAAGGAAUGUUUCUAUUUUGUAUCUGCUAUGUCUGUAAUUUUCUCAUUCAUGGAAAAUAAUCAGGCAUCUACCAUUUACGAAUAAAUGCAAACAAAUAAUCAAACUAUGGGGCAACAAAAGUGGAAACUCCCCCCCCCCAGAAAAAAAAUGGGAAUGUGGAAAAGGAAAGGAGACAUGAGUCCCCAAUAUCUUCUCUAGGGUUUUAUAGAAUCAUAGAAAAGGGCCCUAAACAAUACCCAAGGGGAAACCCCACCCCACCCCUCUCCCC